UAAAAUUAACUCAUUACUUUGAUCAUAUGCUGGUGUAGGUUGCAUAUUUUAAAAUUACAUUUUCCAAAUGGCCCAUCUCAUUUUUCAUACAAAUGAUAUAUUUCAACUCCAUGUGAAUUUUAAGUAGAAAAUUCUGUUGUUCUACAAAUGGAAAGAAAUGGACUCACAUUUCACAGAAUACAUUAAUGAAGAAGGAGGCAGACACACUUUCUCCCAAUGACAUCAAAAGGAAGAUAGAGACAUCGAGCAGAAAACUUUUUUUUAGUAGAAGGAUAUUUGAGUUUUCUUCUAUAAGUUGAUCUCUUGAGAUCAGUUGGGGGAAAAAGAAAACAUUAUUCUUAUGCCCUGUUUCUGGAGUGAGAUGAAGAACAGAAUUUCUUUCCUGAAGAUUUAAUCUGGGUCAGUUUAAACGCUGGCCCAGGCUAGCUCCUUGGGGAGGUUUCUCCUGAAAGCCCCACAAGAGCUCCUUGAGUCCAGAGGUGGGGGAGGAAAAGGGCCCCACUCUAUAAACAGAGCCUCAGGAUGACAAUCCAAUCAGCCCAGAAACUAGCCGGGCCCUCACUUAAAUUUAAUGUCUCUGUGUUUGCACUGAUAGUGCUAACAAGCCAGCCCAGGCCCAUCAGCAUCAGGAAAUUUCUUUUAAUUACACAAUGAGAGCACUGUGCAAACCCCUCCACACUGCAGGUCGGUGCCACAUCACACAGGGACAAGGGGAGGCUCGAGGGUGGAGGCUGCUUUUUGCUGAAGAGCUGAAGAUUAUCUGUGGGAAUUCUUUCAAAGCAGCAGAGGUGAUUAAAAUAUAUUUAGCACUCAUUUCUCUCCUGCUUUCCUCCUUCAUCCUCACAAAUAUCACUGGAAGAGGAACAAUGCAUCAUUAAUAUCCUUGAUCCUCCAUUCCGAAUAAGGGGAGGAAGUCUUCAUUUGCACAAGCUGUAGAGGCAGGGAGAAGGACCCCACACUGAGGUGUCCUAUUCAGGGUCAUGUAAAAAACCAAGCCAGGCAAUCAGCUCCAUCUACUUCAGGCUCUAAAUAGAGUUUUUCUUUUGGGAGCAUGGUAGAGGGGGUUCUCUGAAUUUUAUGAUGCUGGUUUGUUUUUGUUUUGCUUUGAUAGGUUUGCUUUUUUGAAUUUUUUUUCUAUAUCAAUUCUGAUUUGUUAUGUUUUUUAAAAAAAUUUUAAUAAACAUUUGACUGAUCUGAGGUUGUUGAAGUGUGAACUGGGAUAAGAACAAAAAAGCAAUAUGUUAUUUUAGGAAGGUAAGAAAAGAAAAAUUAAGUGGCAGGAUUUUUUUUUAAUUCUAGCAGCCCUCAAGAGUUUGUAUCAAGCUAUAUUGGGGGUUGGUGGGAGAGGAGGGACAGGGAGAGAGAGGAGGGGGAGCAAGAGGAGGGAGAGAGAAUGUUCAUACAUAUCAGAUUUCGGCUAAUGGCUCCCCUGCUAACAGUGGGAAGCAAAAACUUGAAGUAGUCAGUGUAAGGUUUGGAGGUUCAAGCUUCAGUUUUCACAAAAAUGCCAACUUACUCCAAGAAAAGAUUCCUUAGGCCAGAGCAGACAGAGCACCUCUACACUAACAUGAAUAUGAUAUGCUUUGAGGGACCCAAAGGAAAAAGGUCCCACCCUUAGGUCAAACUUUAAAAAUGCCAUAUUCAUAACACAAAAAACUCCAGCCUAUUGGAAUGCUGGCUACAUCACAAUAUCACAGUUUCCAUUUAUUCGAAAUUACCAUUUAUUAGAAAUUAACCAUCCCCCCUAUACACACACACACACACACACACACACCCUGAAAGGGCUUUCCUUGUCUUAAGCCUCUGUGUAUGAAACACUCUGGAACCCACCGGCCUAGGUGUUAGAACAGCACCGAAGUUGCCAGGGCCAGGGGUCCAGCCAUCCUGACCUCUGCUAGCCACCCUGCAAGGGCCGAUGUUCCCACGCAGGAGGCCCCAGGGAGGUGGUACUGAGCAACCGGCCACACCCAAGGAAACAGCUCAGAGCUCAACUUCCUCCUGAAUUAGGCCACACCCGAGGCCUCCCGGGUCUCAUCCACGCCUCUGGGUCCAUCACUAAACAGAAGGCACAAUCCCACUAACUCUUACUCCAUCGCUGCUCAUGAAACUCCUGCCAGUAAGGACUGGGUCAAGCACCUGAAAACCAGAGCUCGUCCGUGGCUUCACUUGUUUUGGACUAAGGAGCUGAGGAGCGUGCAAGACUGUACUUGGAGAAUCUGUUUCUUGCUGCCAUUUCGUCACUGAACACUAUUUUUUUUCUCCUUCUUUUUUUGUAAGAAAAGGAGAACACAUAAAACCCCACCAGAACAAACUCCACUCGGCCCUGAAAGUAUUUACAAUCACGGCCCUGAAAGUACUGAAAGUAUUUACAAUCACGUUACAGUUCAUUCACUGCUGCAGAACCUCUCUCCAGCGAUCAAGGUCGAAGGGAGCCGACGUCGCCCUCUAUCGGCUCCCUGCUGCACUAGAAGCUCCUUGCAGACAGUCUUACAUAGCAUGGCGACUCCAGUCCCAGCACUGCUUACCCCACGGAUCGGGAAGAUGGAGGCUCCUGAAGAGCUGUAGAAGCGCAUCCUAGGCAGAAGCCCAGCAGACAGCAAAGGGCCUGGUUUGUUCAAGGAACUGGAGGGCAAGAAAAUCAGGAGCCAAUUCAUGCAGGGCACAGUUAGCCAAGGCAGGAGGCAAUCAUGCUCACCCUCUUCCACAGCCGGACUCACUCAGGAGGCCCUUCAUCUUCAUGUUCCCCACAUAGCAGAGGGGAGGGCAGAAGAUGAGAGGGAGGAGAGAGCAGAGCCAAGAGCCUCCUUUUCUCCCACUGUGCCCCUCCUAUGUGUGGCUCUGGACACCAGGAACCACCCAAGGACAGUGGGACUCCUCGAAAAGAUAAUUGCUCAUGAGGGAUCCAAGAGCAAGGCUUGUUACAUCCUAUAACCUUCACACAAAAUAUUGACUGAGAAUCCUCCAUGUGCCAAGUACUGUUCAAAAACACUGGGAACCCAGCAGGGAUGAGCCACAAGUUUCCUUGUCUUUACGAAGCUUUCAUUCUGAGGGAGUGGAGAGAGACAAGCAAUAAACAACCAAUCAAAACAAAGAUGACUCCUCUGAGUGUUGUGAUAUGCGGGUCAAGGAGGAUGGCUCCCAGGAUGUGACCUCAGAGCAGAAGCCUGGAGGCUUGCCAGCAGCGGGAAGAGCAGCGGCAGGGCACUGCAGGCAGAGGUGACCAAAAGCGUGAAACCUUGAGCUGGGAAGCACGUGGUCUGCUGGAAAGUGGGCUGAUGUAUUUGAAGAGAGCAAGGAGCAGAAUGGUACAAUGGGGUGAUGGGGGAAGAGCCAGGCAGAGCCCAGUGCUGCAAAGCCCGGUAGCACAUACAUGUGUAACGUACCUUGAAGCAAAUGAAUGGCCUGAUCUGGUUUCUGUUUUGGCUGCUCUGUGGUGAUGUGGUGCCUGGGAGGCAAAGAAGCUGGGAAAGAAGCGGUUUUUCUCUUCUAGGUACUUUAAAGCUCUAUAAUAUAUGCUCAGGUGAAAUUUGGCUGGUAUUUUCAGGGACUUCACUGCUUUUGUGCCAUACUGGCCUCAUCAUGUAGAUAACAUCACGGAUUCAUUCCAUCUUAUUAUUCUGUAAGAGUGAUGUCUAAUUUUUUUAAAAAAGAAUCAGCUUUAAAAAAUGCAAAGUCUCAUAGAAAGUAACUCUUUUCUAUUUUAAGCAAGCAUUCAGAAUAUUAGCAGUGCUAAUCAGUACCUCACUAAACAGUUAUGACUGAUUCUAAGUGCAAAGUGGGGAAUGAGAGUAACAGAGAGUAUUUACUGGCUGCUAAAAGCAGGUACAAUGGGGAGCAUGCUAGAGAAACUGUCUCACUGAAUCCUCGGAUGACCCCAUGGUGUAGGUAAUACUGGAGAAACUGAGGCUGCAGUGGCCACAUGACUUGCACAAGGCCACCCAGUAAGAAUGGGAUAGAACAAGAGCCCAUGUCCAUAACCCCUCUCCUACUACGCUAAGGUCAGGGUGGCCCUUUAAGGUGACCAAAGGGUUAGAAAUAACAAACAAGAGUGGAUGAACCUAGGUUUAUUUUGUCUGGAGGAGAGAAAUCUUUGAGAGUGAUUAAUUAAAGCAUAUUCAGGAUAUUUUUUAAAUAAACGGAGAGAGCUGUUCUCCAUCAUCCCUAAUGGUAGAAGAAAAGGCCUUCACCCUCAGCCUGGCAGGUGAAGACAGAGAUAAAGAAUGUGCAGACUGUGGGAUCUUGCUGGGAGGGAGGCAGGACUCACCUACCUAGUCUGUCUCUGAUGCAUUUCUUUGGAAAAUGCAUGUUGACAGUGCUUCUAAAAGUAAUCAUAUGAGCUGCCUGAAAAGGUCAACUUUCAACUCUGGUAAAGAUUGGGAUGCCUUUUCCAGAUUAAUUCCACAUUGGUGUUUGUGGGCAAUGCUGAAACAAAAGAAAAUCCAGGCUAGCCAAAACUUUUCACAUAAAUAGUGACAAAAGCAACCGAGUGGCUGGACAGAUUUGAGACAGGAACAGCCCGAGGACUACAGCAGGGGCUCCCAGUCUGGAGACUCUAACAUAGAUCUCCAGAUGACCCCAAUGACUGGGAAUUGCUUUUACUCUGGACAGCCUGCUGGGCGGCCCCAGUUGACUGUCCCGGGUAUGUCCCGGGUCGCUAACCACUUUGACUGCCCCUGAGCCACAGAGUCAGGCAGGAGUCAGGGACACGUAGGUACUCUCUUCUCCCUGCCCCUCACCUUCCUUCAGGGCCACCUCGGCCACAAAGGCUGGCUCCACAUCAGUCAGCUACUCAGACAUGCUCUCGCCUCACCUCCU
rnacentral:lncRNA from 1 species